rnacentral:siRNA from 1 species
UCGGGAUGCGGAUUACCUCGU